rnacentral:rRNA from 1 species
AGCAGCCGCGGUAAUUCCAGCUCCAAUAGCGUAUAUUAAAGUUGUUGCAGUUAAAAAGCUCGUAGUUGAACUUCGGGAUUUACCCAUUGGUCAGGCUUAAUUGUCUGCACUGGUGAGAUAAAUCUCUACCUUCUGAGGAACUUUCAUGUCAUUUAUUUGGUGUGAUGGGAAAUCAGGACUGUUACUUUGAAGAAAUUAGAGUGUUUGAAGCAGGCUAACGUCUGAAUACAUUAGCAUGGAAUAAUGAAAUAGGACGGACUGAUUCUAUUUCGUUGGUUUCUAGGAUCACCGUAAUGAUUAAUAGGGAUAGUUGGGGGCAUUAGUAUUCAAUUGUCAGAGGUGAAAUUCUUGGAUUUAUUGAAGACUAACUACUGCGAAAGCAUUUGCCAAGGAUGUUUUCAUUAAUCAAGAACGAAAGUUAGGGGAUCGAAGACGAUCAGAUACCGUCGU